rnacentral:rRNA from 1 species
GACGAACGCUGGCGGCGUGCUUAACACAUGCAAGUCGAACGGAAAGGCCCUGCUUGCAGGGUGCUCGAGUGGCGAACGGGUGAGUAACACGUGGGUGAUCUGCCCCUUACUUUGGGAUAAGCCUGGGAAACAGGGUCUAAUACUGGAUAGGACCAUGCUGUAGGUGGUGUGGUGGAAAGAUUAGUGUCGUUACGGGAUGAGCUCGCGGCCUAUCAGCUUGUUGGUGGGGUAAUGGCCUACCAAGGCGUUGACGGGUAGCCGGCCUGAGAGGGUGGAGGGCCACAUUGGACCUGAGAGACGGCCCAGACUACUGCGGGGGGCGGCAGUGGGGAAUAUUGCACAAUGGGCGCCAGCCUGAUGCAGCGACGCCGCGUGAGGGAUGACGGCCUUCGGGAUGUAAACUCCUUUCAGCCAUGAAGAAGCCUUCGGGUGACGGUAGUGGUAGAAGAAGCACCGGCUAACUACGUG